UAAGGCCAACAAGAGUGCCACCAAAUUCGAGAUUCAUGAACCCAUGGGUAGUGUUUGUCACUGUCAUUGCGGUGGUAGGGAUCGCGGCCAUGAUCGUAGGUCUACUCAUUCACUAUUUAGCUUUCGAUCAGAAGUCUUGCUUUUACCAUAGUAACGUUCCAAUAAUGAAUGUUGAAUACAAUGAUCAGUUAAGCUCACCA
rnacentral:lncRNA from 1 species